AAUGGAUGCAUGUGUGUGUUUCUGAACAGUACAGAAACUAAGUGCAACCCACUAAGGCAGGGAUCCAUGCACAAGACAAGGCCUGACAAUUUGAAGUGUCUAAUAGAACCAGUAAGUCCCUGAAUUAUGUGCAAAUAUUUUUAUGCUAAUGAUGUAGUGCAGAAUGAGCCAAGCCAAUUCAGAAUUCCUGAAACUAUUGAUUGAUGCACUUUAUUCUACCAGAGGAAUAAUUUCAUUUUCCCUGUACAAUAUGCUUUAAAAGUUGUAUAAAAUACACUUCUAAGUCUUAUUUUUCAGUAUCACACAAGGUUGAUUCUACUGCUUUAGAAAAUGUUGUCCAACUCCUAAUUGUUAAAUUUUUUUUGAGAUAUGCAGAUGACAACUUUUUGAACUUAAGAACGGUGUCAAACCAUAGUUUUAUGCUCUACAUGAAGUAUCAUUUAGACAUAUUUUUACAUCUAAUCAGUGAUUCAAAGCAAGACUCGUUAGAAAGCAAGCAAAUGGGCUGUUUUUGUUUUAGUGCUGAGGGUACACUGGUGAUAAUAGGAGGAAAGACUGUCUCUGAAGAAUGCCCUUAUGACUUUACCUCCAGAAUCAAACAGCGUGUUUCAAAAUUGUGUGUGUGUGGGGGGGGGUUCAUUUGAAUCUUUUAAAUAUAUUUAAAGGAAGUCACUAACAGCAAGCCUUUUUAAGCCACUUUUAGGGAUACUGUCCCAUUUACAACCAAUUCACACUACAUGUGCAGUAGGCUGCAUCUACAGGUUAGCUUCUCUGACCCAGAUGUCUGCUGUGUUAUGUCAAAGUGUCCAAUUUCCUAUACUGAUAUUUUGAUUCAGCUGCUUGGGUUUCUGCAUGUAGUAUAUAUUGUCACGAACCCCCGGUCGUGACCCUGACCUUCCUGUUGGAUUGCGUGUGUGUGAUUGUAGUUUUUGAGUUCUUUUCCCCUUGGGGCGUUUAUGGUUUUCGUCUGUUGCUCUGUGUUCUGCUUCCUCCCUCAUGCUCUGGGGCUGCUGGUGGGCGUGGUUGCCUGAGCUCCAGUUUACGCACCUGAGACUCAUCCAGUUAAUCAGCACACCAGUGCCUCAGCCUACAAUCAACUCACCUUAAAAGACCAGCCCAACCUUCCAGUCCCAGCUGGAUUGUUGUACCUCACAAAUACCUGCCCAUGCCUGACUCGGAUUCCCUCCUGUGCCAUGGAAACCCCUGAGCUCUCGAACCAGGACCACAUUCCCCUUGGAACAACCACCCAUCCCCAAGCCACACCUGUCUCUCCCUUGUGUUCAAUAAAACCUCUCACUGCUCAUA